rnacentral:lncRNA from 1 species
CAGUUCUUGCCUAUUGCAAAGUGAUACCAGUAUUCAGAACUCAGUUCUCUCUGUGUUUAAUAGCUCAUCAAAAGUGGAAUUAUCUGCACAGAGUGGACAUGUAAAUACAUUCCCUUCUCAAGAAAACAAACAUUCAAAUCUUUCACAAGAGCUGGAAAAAAUACAAUGUUCUUCAAUUUCAAACAUAAUCCCAGACUCUUCUAAAUUCACUAGGAAAGAGAAUUUUUUUAUUUUCAUGAAGGAACAGAAAGAAGAAGUGGAACCUGGAUAUCUUCCUGAUGAUGAGACCAGUGAUGUCAAGCCUUUACUUGGACUACUUGAUGACAUAUUUUAAAACAAUAUAUUUUGGAAGAUGAAAACUGAUAACCACAUUCCGUAUUUCCCUGGCAAUAACUGAAUUCAGGUACACAGUGACUAUGCUUCACAACUUAUAUGGACAAAAAAAACCAAACUGACUGCAGAAUUAGAAAUAUCUACUCGUGGUUGGAUUGUUUGUAUGGGCUUUUUUUUUUUUCUCCCCCCCUUGGUUUUUUUUUAUUUUUUUAAUUAAAACAUUCAAAUAAAGGUAACUUAUCGUUACUCUACUACUGCUGU